ensembl:lncRNA
GUUCAGUCCUCUAUAAAUACCAGAUACAGCUUCAGAGGCAAACGGAGGGGAAUGAGCCAGCUGGAUUUUCACUUUGGGGAGAAAAAACGUGAAACCAAGCAGCACCCAUCGGUUUUCCUCCCCAGCUCCAUGCCUGCCCCCUGGAGUGAGCCUCCUUGCUUUCAGCCACAGCUGAGUGGCCAGUCUCUUCAGCCUCCCCAGGCACCUAGGUGCGAGGAGGAGGGGCAACUCAAAUCCAAGUGGAAAACUGGCUGGUCUUCAACCGACUUGGAAGUUUAAGUGGCCUAGGCAGUCCUGAAAAGUUCCAGCAACUCCAGCUCAUUUAGCAGAGUGCAGCUUCUGGCUGGAAGAGCAGAGGAGGGCCAGGCUGUUCUAGGCUGCCUGUGGGGCAGGGCAGGGGGAGCCAGCACAGGAUGAUCAUGGGGCAAUAGCUCAGGCUUGGCCAAGCCCAGCUGCACAGGAGAACACGGUGACAUGCCAGAGGAGGGGCUACCGCCCGGUUUGCAGCCGGGCAGUGGGAGAGUCCAUGCCAGCCCCUAAGGAGAGCCAAACGCACAGGUGCUCCACCGCCCAGGCAUACCCCCAUCCAGAGCAGAGCCAAAGCUCACGAACACUCGCCUCCACUGUCUCCUCGCCAGGACGCAAAGCCAAUGGCUUUUAAAGUAAAUGUUCCCACUCCAUCUCUGUGGCUCCCGGAUGGAGUGUUUCCUGCGUAAUCAACCCUCCCUUCCAGAGGUUCUCUCCUUACCUGACUCUGGUCUCCUUCACGGGAUGCUGUUUUGCAUUCAUCCCAACUCUUAUACCUCUACCCCUAGAACUAAGAAGGCCCCCAGGCCCAGCGCUUGGCCUCUCUCCAGCUCUCUGCCCUCUGCCUGGACGAUUUCACCCGCCACCUCCUUCACAGCACCUACUGUCUCUGUGCAGAUAUUGGUGGUAGUCUCAGCUGCCAAGACCCACCAGGCCCAAACUGCCCCCAUGCCUCAGACAAGGCCUUUGAUGUCCAGCUGCAGCCUAAACCCAGUAUUUCCCAAAGCAAACUUCUCCCUUGGCUUUCCAUGAACUUUAGCACUGGCCCGUUGGUUUAAUCCCUGGCUCCCAACUCUCCCUCCAUCGGUGACCAGGGUGGUCACUACAGCUUCCCCUGCUCCUCUGCAUGUCCCGGUGCCCCAUCGUGGCAGGCCUGCCAGAGAGGAGAUACCUACUGCCAUAGCGAGGGGACUUAUGAGCCAAGACUAGAGUCAGGUACCCAUGUCAGAACACAAGCCUGUGCUUCAGGAAAGGUCUAUGGAAAAUCGAGUCAUGGUAAUGAGGAUGGUCUCCAGCAAUGACCCUCAAACUUGACUGUGCACUCAAGCCACCUGGAAACUUUGUUUAAAAUGUAAAUCACUACCACAGGGAUUCUGAGGCACUAGACCUGGGGUGGAGCCUAGGAAUCUGUUUUUCAACAAGCCAGCAGAUGGGUCUGAUGCCAGUGAAGUCAAGGCCCAUGCAUGGAGGACCAUUUGGUCCCAGAAUUAGAGAUUGGCUUUACCUGGAGUAGGACAGCUGUUCCUAAUCAAGGAAACCCUGACCCAGACCCAGCUUAUAGGGUGACUGUGCUCUGAAUUCCUGGAUUCCACAUGGCAGGCAGGCACAGAGGCCUGAGUUCAUGGACAGUCUUGGGGUGGGAUUAUGCCCCCCAACCCAGGAUCUAUCUAGCAGUUCCAUGGGCAGCACACUAUCACCUGACCAGGAGCGGGUAUUAGCAGCAAAGUCACCCACUCUGGAAACUCUGCCCUGUGCCCUGAAGGUCACAUCCCCCCACCCCUGCCACCAACAAUAUUGCAGCUCAGGCAUAACUACUGAGGGCAAACCAUCUUCUUCCCAUUUCACACUCUUGCUCUGUCACCACAGAGUAAAAGCAGAGGCUGGACAGGACAGAACAUCUGCUCUAAACUAGGCUAACUGCAAGCUGGGCAUGGACACAGGAGGUGGUGGCAGAGUGCUGUCCAGAGCUCCUCCAUCCACCUCGCUUCCUAACCCAGUCUUGGCCUUCUGAUUGUCAACAACAUGAAAUGCAGGUUCGAUCCCUGGAUCAGGAAGAUCCCCUGGAGGAGGCCGUGGCAACCUACUCUAGUAUUCUUGCCUGGAGAAUCCCAUGGAUAGAGGAGCCUGGAGGGCUACAGUCCAUGGGGUCGCAAAGAGUUGAACAUGACUGAAGCAACUUAGCGUGAACUCACAGAGUCAACAGCAUGGUCCAGGUGCCAAGGGAUGAUGCAGGAGAAUUUGGGGGAGUAGACUCUGUGAUCAGGGACUGAUUGGAGUAGAUGGUAAGAGAUGAAGUGGAGGUCUGUCCAGGAGGGCGCUAGUCCCACCCCCUAGUACUGUGCAUUGAGCCUGAGGAUGAGAGGGCAAUAGGGCCCCAGUUUUUCUGCCCAAGAGAAAAAGUCUUGCAAUACCGCCCAAGCUCCCAACUUCCUGCUGGAGAACUCCAUGUGGAUGACUUAGGAACCUAUGGUCUGCUUCCCUCUCCCCACUGACUCUCCUCCCUCCCAGCCUCUAGGGCUGCUGGGCCCACUCCCUUGAUUAAUACACCACUGAUAGUCUCAUGCCCAGGCCUCUGAAUCUCUGCAUUUCUAUUCCUCCCUCCCCUCGGCCCCAAUUACUCACAUGCCCUGUUCACUGUACCCACAGACUGCCUCCCACCUGUGCCAUCUUUAUGCAGCCCUGCCUUAGCUCAGGUCCCCCCGACAUUGGCCCAGGAGACUGCAGGCCUUUACCAGGGGAUCUGCAGAUCUCUGUUCUCUGAACUCUCUUGAUGCCCUUCAUUCCCAACCUGGCACUUCCAGAUUAUCUCUGGGUCUUCAGUGUUUAAAGGAACUACUAGAAACUGCACACUUAUCUCUACACAGCCUCAUGAACUAUUAAUAAAUAUAAUUUGUGAGUAGGGGGCCACCACAGCCUAUACCCCUGAGCCUUCAACACAGAUGACGGGUUUAUCUCUUGCUGGGGAGGCUGUGCGGCCCACAAGGCAAACUGGGCCUAAGCCAUGAAAGACGGACUACUGACUGC